rnacentral:misc_RNA from 1 species
GAACGCACCUUGCGCCCUUUGGCUAUUCCGAAGGGCAUGCCUGUUUGAGUAUCAUGAACACCUCAACUCUCAUGGCUUGCCAUGAUGAGCUUGGACUUUGGGGGUCUUGCCGGCCUGCGGUCGGCUCCUCUCAAAUGAAUCAGCUUUCCAGUGUCUGGUGGCAUCACAGGUGUGAUAAAUAUCUACGCUUGUGGUUCUCCACCAUGUAACCUUCAGUGAUGGAGGUUCGCUGGAGCUCAUAAAUGUCUCUCCUCAGUGAAGACAGCUUUUUGAACGUUUGAUCUCAAAUCAGGUAGGACUACCCGCUGAACUUAAG